rnacentral:lncRNA from 1 species
GAAGUUCAGGAGUUCAAGGCUGCAGUGAGUCAUGAUCGCAUCACUGCACUCCAGGCUGGGUGACAGAGUAAGACUGUCUCCAAAAAAAAAAAAAAAAANNNNNNNNNNAAAAAAAAAAAAAAAAAAAGGACUAAAGAUGAAGUUACUGUGGGUCCUGAAGCUGCAGAUGGCAGCAAGUCAACAGCCAUGGUGGUCUCCGAGGCUGCCCACAGAUUUUCUUUAGGCCAUCGCUGAUGGGUUCUAUGUAUCAUUGAAAUGAAUGGCAAUAACACAUUCUGGGAUGUGGGUAACGCAUGGUGCCCUCAGAAUGGUCUUGUUGGCUUCACUGUAUGACUGAUGAUCCUCCAACAAUAAACAACCUACUGCUUGUAAACUCAUUGGACAAGCCAUAAACUCAAAGUGAAAGACACUCCAGAACAAUAUGUACCUUAUUCCACCACUAGAAAGAAGAUUCAGGAGGAAGUCCCACCUUCAACACCUUGUAAGUACAGAUUAAAAAAAAAAAACAGUUUAAACAUGUUAAAAAUGGGACUUUUUAUGUAGUUGUACUUUUAGGGCUCACCAUUAACUUGAUUAUAAUUGACUAAAAGAAAAGAAGACCGAAGACUAGUGAUCUCGCUGUUCAAUUUACAACUUAUGGGAAAGAACUAUGGACUAAACCAACAGGAGGUAGAAGGAAAGUGUUAAUAAAAAUCACAGCAGAGGCUGGGCGUGGCGGCUCACACCUAUAAUCCCAGCACUUUGGGAGGCCGAGGCGGGUGGAUCACCUGAGGUCAGGCAUUCGAGACCAGCCUGAUCAACAAGGUGACACCUCGUCUCUACUAAAAGUAUAAAAAUUAGCCAGGCAUGGUGGCAGGUGCCUGUAGUCCUAGCUACUCGGGAGGCUGAGACAGGAGAAUCACUUGAACCCAGGAGGCGGAGGUUGCAGUGAGCCGAGAUCGUGCCACUGCACUCUAGCCUGGGUGACAGAGCAAGACUGUCUCGGGGGAAAAAAAAAUUGCAGCAGAAAUUAUGGAAAUUAAAAACAAGAAACCAGUUGAGAAAAUGAAGAAAACCAAGUCUAUCAUUUGAAAACAGUGUAGCUACUUUGGAAACCAGUCUGAUGAUUCUCAAAAAGGAAAAUAUGGAGCUGUCAUAUGAUCCAGCUAUUCCACUGCUACGGUUUGGAUAUGGUUUGUUUGUCCACACCAAAUCUCAUGCUGAAAUUUAAUCCUUACUGUGGUGGUGCUGGGGCAUGCAGCCUACCAGGAGGGGUUUGGGUCAUGGAGGUGGAACCCGCAUGAAUGGCUUGGUGCUGUUCUCACAGUAGUGAGUUCUUGCUCUCAUGAGACUGGAUCGGUUCUGGGGGAAAUGAAUUAGUGCCCCCAGAAUUGUAUUGAUUCUUUACAUAGACUUAGGGCUUUAGAAUUUAAAGAAUUAUAUGGAUAUUUAAUAUUACCAGUAAAUUUAAAGUACACUGCAAAACAGAUUAUAAACCGUGCACAUUACAUAAAAAUUUACUCAAAAUGGAUCAGCCUAAACAUAAAAGCUACAACUAUAAAACUCUUUCUUUUUUUUUUUUUUUUUUUUUGAGACAGAGCCUUGCUCUUUUGCUAAGGCUGGUGUGCAGUGGUGUGAUCUCGGUUCUCUGCAAGCUCCGCCUCCUGGGUUCAUGCCAUUCUCCUGCCUCAGCCUCCCGAGUAGCUGGGACUACAGGCGCCCGCCACCACACCCGGCUGAUGUUUUGUACAUUUUUUAGUAGAGACGGGGUUUCACCAUGUUGGCCAGGAUGGUCUCGAUCUCCUGACCUCGUGAUCCGCCCACCCCGGCCUCCCAAAGUGCUGGGAUUACAGGCGUGAGCCAUGGUGCCCAGCCCUUUUUUUCUUUCUUAAGAGACAGGGUCUCACUCUCUUGUCCAGCCUAGACUGCAAGGUGCAAUCAAGGCUCAACACAGCCUCAGUCUCCUGGGCUCAAGU